UACGGGGGGAGCAAGCGUUGUUCGGAUUUACUGGGCGUAAAGGGCUCGUAGGCGGCCAACUAAGUCAGACGUGAAAUCCCUCAGCUUAACUGGGGAACUGCGUCUGAUACUGGAUGGCUUGGAUUCGGGGAGAGGAAUGCGGAAUUCCAGGUGUAGCGGUGAAAUGCGCAGAUAUCAGGAGGAACACCGGUGGCGAAGGCGGGUCUCUGGGCCGAUACUGACGCUGAGGAGCGAAAGCGUGGGGAGCGAACAGG
rnacentral:rRNA from 1 species